CUUGCUUCUCUGACGUUAGCGGCGGACGGGUGAGUAACACGUGGAUAACCUACCUAUAAGACUGGGAUAACUUCGGGAAACCGGAGCUAAUACCGGAUAAUAUAUUGAACCGCAUGGUUCAAUAGUGAAAGACGGUUUUGCUGUCACUUAUAGAUGGAUCCGCGCCGCAUUAGCUAGUUGGUAAGGUAACGGCUUACCAAGGCAACGAUGCGUAGCCGACCUGAGAGGGUGAUCGGCACACUGGAACUGAGACACGGUCCAGACUCCUACGGGAGGCAGCAGUAGGGAAUCUUCCGNAAUGGGCGAAAGCCUGACGGAGCAACGCCGCGUGAGUGAUGAAGGUCUUCGGAUCGUAAAACUCUGUUAUUAAGGGAAGAACAAUGUUGUUAGUAACUAUGCACGUCUUGACGGUACUAAUCCAGGAAAGCCACGGGUAACUACGUGCCACCACCCCGGGUAAUACGUAGUGCCAAGCGUUAUCCGGAAUUAUUGGGCGUAAAGCGCGCGUAGCCGGUUUUUUAAGUCUGAUGUGAAAGCCCACGGCUCAACCGUGGAGGGUCAUUGGAAACUGGAAAACUUGAGUGCAGAAGAGGAAAGUGGAAUUCCAUGUGUACGGCGAAAUGCGCAGAGAUAUGGAGGAACACCAGUGGCGAAGGCGACUUUCUGGUCUGUAACUGACGCUGAUGUGCGAAAGCGUGGGGAUCAAACAGGAUUAGAUACCCUGGUAGUCCACGCCGUAAACGAUGAGUGCUAAGUGUUAGGGGGUUUCCGCCCCUUAGUGCUGCAGCUAACGCAUUAAGCACUCCGCCUGGGGAGUACGACCGCAAGGUUG
rnacentral:rRNA from 1 species